rnacentral:lncRNA from 1 species
ACUAACAUUAGUUUGCAAAACAGAUAGAAAUGAAUUGGAAAAAAUAUGAGAUAGCUAUUCAAUGCUCAGUAUACAUAUUAACCCUCAGAGCACUUGCUAUAAGUCUAUGGUUCCUUGGUGAGGGGUGGCUAUAGCACACAGACUGGAACCCCUCGUUUCAGGACACCCUAUUGCCUUCCCUGCAUCGUACUCCAAAUAAGUUACAAGAGCUAGGAAGGUGUGUCUCCUAAAGGACAGAGGGGUAAUAUAGGGAACUAGGUGGGAACAGAUCCACGUCCUCUUUUACCAAAGACACUGUUUUUAAUUCUUCUCAUUCUCUUAUCACCCUCUCCGCUAUCCAUUUGUUUUCCUCUUUCUCCGUUAUCUUUGGUCAGCCUGACACACCUAAUACUUCCAAAUCCUCAUUUGUAUUAGGUUACUGAGUAUGAAGAGGGUUAACUUUCUCUUCUGUGGACUAAAUGGACAAACCAAAAGUUAAAUUUAUGACAGCAUUUGGGAUGCUUCUGAUUAGCAAAGCAAAGGAAACCUUAUGGAAUACUACUCUCUAGGAUGCUUAUAUUUUACAUCAUUAUGUCUUAACAUAUUCCCUCAGGAACUCAGAAUGGGAAUUUUUUCCAGUAUUCUCUGGGGUAGCUGCUUUCAGAAAGAGGCGGAAAGGCAUGACACUACUUUAAGGUGUUCUAACAGAAUGAUGUGGAUGUCCUUUUGA